UAUUUUGAGUGAUAUUACACAUGUAGCUUGAUGGGUAUAUUUUACAUAUUUACUUUUGGAAAUUUCUUAGAGAUUAUGGAUGACAGCAGACAACAUUGCAGAUACGUUGCAGCUGGGCACCCUGAUCAGGUUUCCUUUUUGGAAAUCUGGUCCAAGCCCCACUACAGUUUUAUAUAAGGAUGUUGGAGGCAGCAUCGGAAGAGACAAGUCUGCGGGAAUCUUGUCCAAACUCCACAUCGCUGUCACCGAACAAAGUUGGAGGUACAAUUGAAAGAGACCAGCCAGAUUCUUGUUCCGGGCAUUAAAAAGAAAACCUGGCUAGAGAUUUCAUGCCAUGUCAUUCCAUUUAUGUUUGCUUGUGUGCUUAUCAUAUCUGAUUACAUGAUUGACAUUUAUUUCAUAAUUAGUAUAUACUUUGACACAUGAUAUGUUUUGCUUUAUUUAUGAACAACAGGAUACGUUUACUUUUUGUGAUCAUAUAAGUGAACAAACAUAGCCAAUGGUUAAAGUUUAUAUCUACUAUGUAUGUAUAUUUUUCAUUCACACAUGUCUCACUGCCUUUUAAGCACUUAAGAGAGCAGAACUGGAGAUUGCUCUCAUUAAAUGUGAACAAAAUUGAUGUUCUUUCUUUUGCAAAAUAGUAAAUAUUGUGUUCUCUUGAUUGUUUUUUUGUCUUUUCAGUUUACCUGAAUCUAAGAAGUCCGACCAUCAAUUAAUGAGAGAUUUUUGCUUCUAUCAUUCAUGGAACCAUUGAAAUGAAAUACAUACCUUGGCUCAACCAAUACUUCACAAUCUUUUUGCCCAAAGCAAACAGUAUCAUUAUUUAUAUGUUCUAAAUUAAAAUAUUUUCGCUUGUGUUCUCAAUUAAAAUUUUACCGCUUAAAGGAAAAGAAACCAUUUUUAUCACUCCUACAGUUCACAGGGAGAGAGAACAAGAAAGAAAACCUUUCACCAAAAUCUUGUCUUCCUACUUACUUUUACUUACCAAGAAGAAUCAACAAUAAUUGAAUCUUUUAAGAAAAUGGAUAAAAGAUCAUUUUUAGUUAGUAAUGUACAACUCCCAACUUGUCUCUUUUACUUCUUUUUCUGUGCAUGUGCACCCUGUUGAAGGGUGUUGUACUUG